rnacentral:lncRNA from 1 species
UCUUUCUCUGGCAACAAAAACUUAAGUAUGCCUCAAAAUGAAAACACCACCACUUCACUGUUUGCUCUUCAACGGUCUCCGAAAAUUGUUGACAAUUUUUAGAGGGUUAGUUAAGAGGCAGAAGGUGCAGCCACCUUCUUCCGUACAAUCCUCUUUCGCCUAGCCUUUGGAGGUGGAGAAUCCGAAGCCGAGUCCUGUUGCUUCAUACCAAGUAGCCCUGAGACUAUUGCAUUCUUUGAGAUGAACCAUCUUGAAGCUGGCUUUCCUGCUGCUGCUGCUUCCUCUGAGGGUCGGUUGUAUGCUUUUGCCAGCAGAUCAUCAGACUGAGCCAGCGGGUCUGCCUCCACACCUAGCCAUACUUGUCUUGAUCUCUCCCCUAACUGAACGUUCAUAAUCCUGUUCCACAUCCAAUCCCAUGUUCAUUAUACAAAUCCUUCCAAGCCAUUAGAAAAAGGUUUCCUAAGGGGUGAAAGAGAAGAAUAAUACCUCAUGGCAGUGCCAAAGAAGAGUGCUACUCCAAUGACGUCAAAGUGGUUGCUCAUCGCUCUUUCGAAUCCACAUAAGAGCUGGUAUCUCAUGUUUGCAUAUAACCCAAGGAAUGCGCCAUAACCGAGAGCGUUUGUUGUGAUUGAUGGAACCGUCACAGAUACUCUGCCAGAACAACGAUUCAAAAAGUUAAUAAUCAACCAUGAGCUGAAAGAAAAGUGAAUGCAGAGAAUGUGAUGACCUGUUUUUCUUCUUUGCCGCCAGAAAGUUUGACAACGAACCCUGGAGAGUUCCUGUUGCAACGCCAAGAAUGGAAAGCUCUGCGGCCUUGUAGAAUAGAGAAUGGAUCCUCUUCUGCAGGUCAAACUCUCUCAGUGGAUAGCUCAUCUCAAAAACGUUGUUUGGCAGCUUCUGCAAUGUAUUUUGCAAGUCGAACCGGAACGUGUUCCCGUAGGAACGACACGGAGCCAGCAACCAAACAGCCGCUGCAUUGCAUGCUGAUACGGUAAGAACAUUUAUGAGCGCAAGAUCCCAUUCCUCUUUUAUUCUGCAAACAACAGAGUAAACAAUUCAAGACAAUGAAAUAAGAAAGCUACAAAACCUAGAGAUGUAGAGACAGUUUAUGUUACCUAUCCUUACGAGUCUUAACUUCCCACCAAACCGAGCAUCCAACCGUGGCGGCUUGCUCCAAGAGAAGUCUAUAGAGAAAUGAAGGAUCCGCCAACAUCCUACACAAAAGACAAGUCACAUAGUCAAGACUGUGAAGAAGAAGAAGAAGUCUACAUCGAGCUAUGGUUCUCAGAAGAUACAUUACCUGCCAACAAAGGCUCUCGACAAUCCUUGAGGAAGAGCACGGGAGAUGAAUCUAGUUGUUGUAGGACGAGCGUUAAUAGCAAGGAACUUAACCAUUUGUGCUGAGCUGACCAAACCCUGCAUACAAGUUUCCAUAAGUGUUAAAGAUCUCAGCAUCCCAAAACCGUAAAGCUUCAAGGACAUGUUACCAUUUCAUACGCUUGACGGAGACCAGCAGGCAAAUCCAUCAUUGUCUUUUGCCACUCGUUCAACACAGCAUCAACGAACUUCCUAUCAAAAAGCUGGAAAGAAGAAACAUAAAUGUCAGUAAAGAUCAACAAAACACAAACGUAAAAGAUCUCUUUUACCUCUGCGAGGAACAUCCUACGCCUAAAGAGACCACCUUCAUCUCCAUCAUCGUCAUCAUCAAAUUCGUCAAAGUAAUCAUCAUCAUCACCAUCAUCGUCACCUCCAUCGCCACCACCGAAAUUGACACUCUUCCCAAUGUCUCCACCACCUCCUCCAGUUGCAAUCUGCAAAAUGAAAAACUCUUACCAUCUCGCAGUUUGGUGAAUCCACUUCACUUCCCACUCUUUCUCUGGCAACAAAAACUUAAGUAUGCCUCAAAAUGAAAACACCACCACUUCACUGUUUGCUCUUCAACGGUCUCCGAAAAUUGUUGACAAUUUUUAGAGGGUUAGUUAAGAGGCAGAAGGUGCAGCCACCUUCUUCCGUACAAUCCUCUUUCGCCUAGCCUUUGGAGGUGGAGAAUCCGAAGCCGAGUCCUGUUGCUUCAUACCAAGUAGCCCUGAGACUAUUGCAUUCUUUGAGAUGAACCAUCUUGAAGCUGGCUUUCCUGCUGCUGCUGCUUCCUCUGAGGGUCGGUUGUAUGCUUUUGCCAGCAGAUCAUCAGACUGAGCCAGCGG